rnacentral:rRNA from 1 species
UACGUAGGGUGCAAGCGUUGUCCGGAAUUAUUGGGCGUAAAGAGCUCGUAGGCGGUCUGUCGCGUCUGCUGUGAAAACUCGGGGCUUAACCCCGGGCCUGCAGUGGGUACGGGCAGACUAGAGUGCGGUAGGGGAGACUGGAAUUCCUGGUGUAGCGGUGAAAUGCGCAGAUAUCAGGAGGAACACCGGUGGCGAAGGCGGGUCUCUGGGCCGUAACUGACGCCGAGGAGCGAAAGCAUGGGGAGCGAACAGG